rnacentral:tRNA from 1 species
GAGGGUAGAGCUCAGUGGGAGAGCAUGUGCUUAGCAUGCACGAGGUCCUGGGCUCAACCCUAGUACCUCUG